rnacentral:rRNA from 1 species
UACGUGAGGUGGCAAGCGUUGUCCGGAAUUACUGGGUGUAAAGCGCGUGUAGGCGGCAGACCAAGUCGGCGGUGAAAGCGCCCGGCUCAACUGGGCGAGGUCCGUGGAAACUGGUCGAGCUGGAGGACGGUAGAGGCGGAGUGGAAUUCCCGGUGUAGUGGUGAAAUGCGUAGAGAGUCGGGAGGAACACCUGUCGGCGAAGGCGGCUCGCUGGGCCGGUCCUGA